CCUCAGGGUGGGGACUUUGGUCACACUUUUGCUGGCAUCAGGUUUUAAUUUUGAUGAAGUCCAGCCCAUUGCUUUCUCCCCUUGGUCAUUUGCUUGUGGAAUCUAAGAGAAACCUUCGGUCUCCCCCGGGCUGGGAGACAUCACCCCGAGCAUCAGAUCGGCAGUUCCCAGAGCCUCCUGGGUCCCUUGCUCAUGUGAUCCUCAUACCGGUGUGGGAGCGCUCUGUGAUCCCAGCAUGAUGGCGUGUCCUGGGACAGUGACUGGGAAGGUGGGCGAGCGACAGACAGGCAGUGAGGGCCUGUGUGUGAUGUUCCAGCCCAGCCUGUGCCCCUCAGGGCUAUGGGGUUGUCUCCGGCUCCAGUCAGACGGAGGGGGACCUGCCCAUGGGGAGCACCCUGACCCAUGUGUCCUCGGAAGGUUCUCAUGUACCAUCAUUCUUGAAUGUGUUUGGAUUGCAGCACCAUGCAGGAGGACUCGGAGACCCUGCUGGCCUUGCAAAGGGCCAAUAUCGUGGCCCAGUACCAUUAGAUUCAUUCUUCGACUCCGUGAGACAAGAACCUGACUUUCUCACUUCAUUCCGCCUGCUGCACUUCUCUUACCCAAGCUCCCUGGGAAAUUACUUCAUUGGCUUAAUCCCAUCUCACUCUCCUCCUGCCUCAUAUCCUUUGGAUUCUUCACCACCAAAGGCCAACGAACCAAGAGAUGCAGGGAGGGAGAGAAGACCCAGGUGAUAGGGGGAACUAAGGCCAAAGAAAUAUAGAUUAAAAUACAUCUGCUUUUUUUAAAAAAAAGAUUUUGUUUAUUUACUCAUGAGAGACACACACAGAGAGAGAGAGAGAGAGAGAGAGAGAGAAAGAAAGAGGGGCAGAGACAGAGACAAAGGGAGAAGCAGGCUCCCUGCGGGUAGCCCAAUGUGGGACCCCAUCCUAGGACCCCAGGAUCAUGCCCUGAGCCAAAGGCAGAUGCUCAACCACUGAGCCACCCAGGCAUCCCUACCAUUACAUUUCCUAACAAACUUGCAGUCCAUAAACAAAUACUUGAAACCGACAGAGUGGGACAUUCUUCAAAGAAUUCACAGCUGCCUGAAUGUUAAUGCUUUGCUAGAGGCCAAAAGCAACAUUUGUUUGCUGAUAGCCAGACCUCCAGGAUCCUGUAAAUCUUUCACCUGUGAAAAUCCUUUUGGAAACUUCUUUUAUCUCUAGAGUCCCCACCCCACACAGCAACUUUAAAGUUUAUAACCAAGGCUCCUCAUGAUCCUGAUGAAGCUCUUCAGGCCCAGGGGUCCUGUCCCCAUACUUUAAUAAAAACACCUUUUUGCAUGGAAAAUGUCUCA
rnacentral:lncRNA from 1 species